UAGGGAAUCUUCCACAAUGGGCGAAAGCCUGAUGGAGCAACGCCGCGUGUGUGAUGAAGGCUUUAGGGUCGUAAAGCACUGUUGUAUGGGAAGAAAUGCUAGAGUAGGGAAUGAUUCUAGUUCGACGGUACCAUACCAGAAAGGGACGGCUAAAUACGUGCCAGCAGCCGCGGUAAUACGUAUGUCCCGAGCGUUAUCCGGAUUUAUUGGGCGUAAAGCGAGCGCAGACGGUUGAUUAAGUCUGAUGUGAAAGCCCGGAGCUCAACUCCGGAAUGGCAUUGGAAACUGGUUAACUUGAGUGUUGUAGAGGUAAGUGGAACUCCAUGUGUAGCGGUGGAAUGCGUAGAUAUAUGGAAGAACACCAGUGGCGAAGGCGGCUUACUGGACAACAACUGACGUUGAGGCUCGAAAGUGUGGGUAGCAAACAGGAUUAGAUACCCUGGUAGUCCACACCGUAAACGAUGAAUACUAGGUGUUAGGAGGUUUCCGCCUCUUAGUGCCGAAGCUAACGCAUUAAGUAUUCCGCCUGGGGAGUACGACCGCAAGGUUG
rnacentral:rRNA from 1 species